AUAAUGAUACUUCCGUCCGGUCAUAACUCAUCGUAGUGAGGGCGGCUUCAUGAGAACCAUGUUGGGGUGAAAGACCCAUGA
rnacentral:ncRNA from 1 species